ACACACACGAGGCAGGAAAUAUACCACGAUCAUGAAGGUGGUUUUCUGGUGUCUUACCCAUUACACUCUGCUGACCCGUGGGAUUUCUCUAAAUGAAGAAAACUCGACAACAUAAUUUUAUGGUACUUGGGAACUGUGUUCCCAC
ensembl:snRNA LOC120094018 U1 spliceosomal RNA